rnacentral:rRNA from 1 species
CAGUAGGGAACAAUGGGCGAAAGCCUGACGCAGCAAUGCCGCGUGCGGGACGAAGGCCCUAGGCCGCUUUCAGUAGGGACGAAAAUGACGGUACCUGCAGAAGAAGCUCCGGCCAACUACGUGCCAGCAGCCGCGGUGAUACGUAGGGAGCAAGCGUUGUCCGGAAUUACUGGGCGUAAAGGGCUCGUAGGUGGUUGAGUAAGUCAGAUGUGAAAUCUCAGGGCCCAACCCUGAGCCUGCAUUUGAUACUGCUCUGACUAGAGUCCGGUAGGGGAGUGCGGAACUCCUGGUGUAGCGGUGAAAUGCGCAGAUAUCAGGAAGAACACCGACAGCGAAGGCAGCACUCUGGGCCGGUACUGACACUGAGGAGCGAAAGCAUGGGUAGCAAACAGGAUUAGAUACCCUGGUAGUCCAUGCCGUAAACGUUGGGCACUAGGUGUGGGGAGAACUCAACUCUCUCCGCGCCGUAGCUAACGCAUUAAGUGCCCCGCCUGGGGAGUACGGCCGCAAGGCUAAAACUCAAAGGAAUUGACGG